UGGGGGAUAUUGGACAAUGGGGGGAACCCUGAUCCAGCGACGCCGCGUGAGUGAAGAAGUAUCUCGGUAUGUAAAGCUCUAUCAGCAGGGAAGAAGAAAUGACGGUACCUGAGUAAGAAGCCCCGGCUAACUACGUGCCAGCAGCCGCGGUAAUACGUAGGGGGCAAGCGUUAUCCGGAAUUACUGGGUGUAAAGGGAGCGUAGACGGUGAUGUAAGUCUGGAGUGAAAGGCGGGGGCCCAACCCCCGGACUGCUCUGGAAACUAUGUGACUGGAGUGCAGGAGAGGUGAGCGGAAUUCCUAGUGUAGCGGUGAAAUGCGUAGAUAUUAGGAGGAACACCAGUGGCGAAGGCGGCUCACUGGACUGUAACUGACGUUGAGGCUCGAAAGCGUGGGGAGCAAACAGG
rnacentral:rRNA from 1 species